AUACGUUGGUGGCAAGCGUUGUCCGGAUUUAUUGGGCGUAAAGCGAGCGCAGGCGGUUUCUUAAGUCUGAUGUGAAAGCACCCGGCUCAACCGGGGAGGGUCAUUGGCAACUGGGAGACUUGAGGGCAGAAGAGGAGAGUGGCAUUCCAUGUGUAGCGGUGAAAUGCGUAGAUAUAUGGAGGAAAACCAGUGGCGAAGGCGACUCUCUGGUCUGUAACUGACGCUGAGGCUCGAAAGCGUGGGGAGCAAACAGGAUUAGAUACCCUGGUAGUCCACGCCGUAAACGAUGAGUGCUAAGUGUUGGAGGGUUUCCGCCCUUCAGUGCUGCAGCUAACGCAUUAAGCACUCCGCCUGGGGAGUACGACCGCAAGGUUGAAACUCAAAGGAAUUGACGGGG
rnacentral:rRNA from 1 species